UAUGCUGACUUUUACAGACACAUCUUCGAACUAUUAAGCUAAGUAAUAUCCAAACUAUUUUUUAUUGUUGUGGAAGCAUGUGGUGGAUGCUGUGGUAUGCCUUCUGCGUUGCCCCUUCAGGUCUGAAGCGUGCAUUUCCACACCUGCGAGAAGUAUUGGCUGUAGACAUUUCAUGGCUGAGUACCACUUUGGAGAUUGCUCUAGAAUAAAGGGAGCUGCUUUGCUCAAGGUUAUACCCUCUUACUGGAGUUAGCUCACAUCAAAGAACUGGUCUAUGCAGAUGUACGAAGACCUGGCCUUUUUGUCUCAAUUCUGGAAAACUUGGAAGAGCCAUUCUAGCUCCUGGGCUCUUGAAGGACUGGCUAAGACCUGUUAGAAUUGCACACUGACGUUCAACUUCCCCCUCUGUCCAAUUCUUAUUUCUCAUUCUUUUAUAAGUAUUGUUCCAUCUUAGAAUCUGUUUCCUAGGGAACCCAAUUUAAACACCAGUUAGAAUGUCUGAGGAAGCAGAAUCUAAAAUGCAACUUUGAAGCUGGAUCCCUUGCUGGCUGCAGGGAAAUGAGAACCCUGCCACUGGUAUUAGGUGGGGAAAUGAUAGCCCCUAGCAUGCUAUAGCAGUGCAGUUGUUAGAACUUUUACAAGUUCUGAGCUGGAAUAGGACACGAGUGGAAGAUGUGCUGUUCUUGACGUCCUUACUUCUGUCCUCAGAAUCAUAUCUUCGCAUCUGAAAGAAGGCAACAGCAUUGAGCAACAAUCUGGGACUCUAUUUGAUAUCUUCCCUUGAGAAGUGUUAAAUGUUGCCAUAAUCUUGACAGUUCAAAAGUUAGUCAUGUGGUUGAUAUUUUACCAAUGAGAUGAAUGUGACUGUAAUAUGGGCAAAUCCCACCUACCAUAAAAGCUGGCAAUACUUGCCUAAUAUUGAAGGAAGGAGACAUUUAGAGCAAGCCAGGAAGCUGGAACACCGGAUCAGGAACAGACACUUCUCCGCAAGUUUAGAGUUUGGUAUUUCUCAAGUCCUGGCCUGAGGGAUGUUUACUCUCAGGUUAUACAAAGUCCCAGCUUGGGUUCUGGAAAAAUUGAACUGACAACUUUGCCUGAAAGAAGUUUCUUGCUAACUCCUAGGAAAGAAGGUGAGAAUGAGGCCACUGACGUCAUCUUGGCUUGGUUUACUUAAGCCUGGGCAAAGAGGGAAAAGGGCACUGGAGAUUU
rnacentral:lncRNA from 1 species